UCCCUACGGGGGGCAGCAGUGGGGGAUAUUGCACAAUGGGGGGAACCCUGAUGCAGCGACGCCGCGUGGGUGAAGAAGCGCCUCGGCGCGUAAAGCCCUUUCAGCAGGGAAGAAAAUGACGGUACCUGAAGAAGAAGCCCCGGCUAACUACGGGCCAGCAGCCGCGGUAAUACGUAGGGGGCAAGCGUUAUCCGGAUUUACUGGGUGUAAAGGGGGCGUAGACGGCGAUGCAAGCCAGGAGUGAAAGCCCGGGGCCCAACCCCGGGACUGCUCUGGGAACGGCGGGGCU
rnacentral:rRNA from 1 species